rnacentral:rRNA from 1 species
UACGUAGGUGGCAAGCGUUGUCCGGAAUUAUUGGGCGUAAAGCGCGCGCAGGCGGUCCUUUAAGUCUGAUGUGAAAUCCCGUGGCUUAACCACGGGCGGUCAUUGGAAACUGGGGGACUUGAGUGCAGAAGAGAAGAGCGGAAUUCCACGUGUAGCGGUGAAAUGCGUAGAUAUCGGGAAGAACACCAGUGGCGAAAGCGCUCUGCUGGACCAUAACUGACACUGAGGGACGAAAGCUAGGGGAGCGAAAGGG